rnacentral:rRNA from 1 species
GACGAACGCUGGCGGCGUGCUUAACACAUGCGAGUCGAACGGUAAGGCCCUUCGGGGUACACGAGUGGCGAACGGGUGAGUAACACGUGGGCAAUCUGCCCCUUUGAUCGGGACAACCCGGGGAAACCCGGGCUAAUACCGAAUGAGGUGGCGACUCAUGAGAGUCGUCACGAAAGGAAGCUUCGGCCUCCGCGAAGGGAUGAGCCCGCGGCCCAUUAUCUUGUUGGUGGGGUAAUGGCCUACCAAGGCAACGAUGGGUAGCUGGUCUGAGAGGACGAACGGCAAGACUGGGACUGAGACGCGUCCCAGACUCCUACGGGAGGCUGCAGUGGGGAAUCGUGCGCAAGGGGCGACAGCUUGACGCAGCAACGCCGCGUGAGGGAAGAAGGCUUUCGGGUCGUAAACCUCUUUCAGUUAGGACGAAGCUUUAUUGGUUAAUAACCAAUUGGAGUGACGGUACUUUCAGAAGAAGCCCCGGCUAACUACGUGCCAGCCGCCGCGGUAA